rnacentral:rRNA from 1 species
UACGUAGGGCGCAAGCGUUGUCCGGAAUCAUUGGGCGUAAAGAGCUCGUAGGUGGUCUGUUACGUCUGCUGUGAAAACCUAGGGCUUAACCCUGGGCCUGCAGUGGAUACGGGGCAGACUAGAGGUAGGUAGGGGAGAAUGGAAUUCCCGGUGUAGCGGUGAAAUGCGCAGAUAUCGGGAGGAACACCGGUGGCGAAGGCGGUUCUCUGGGCCUUACCUGACACUGAGGAGCGAAAGCGUGGGGAGCGAACAGG